rnacentral:lncRNA from 1 species
GCAAAUUAGACUUUUUGCCUACUUUGGUGCUGAGAAGCCCAAACUACCAACCAAAGCUUUGGUUUUCUCUGAGGGCUGUCGGUACAGACGAGAGGCCGGGAUUGUUCUCUAGCAACCCCUGCCGGUUGACAAUAAAUGCCAGAAACUGACCCAGAGGCAUUAGUUCAUCCCCACGUUGGAGGGAAGUAAAAAAUGUCAGGCUGAGGGAGAGCAGGUAGCACCUGAACGGGUAAAACGUAGAUACGUCCGUGACCCAACUUCAACCAACCACGCAACGUCAAUGACCCAGGGGAUGCUGGAGCAACAGGAAGGAAGGAAUUGAUUGAACAAUCACGUGGAGCAAAGCCACGUUGUUAUUUAGGGCUACUACUUAAAUCAGAGAUCAUCUCUGUCUUCUUUAAGCCACUUCAGUUUGGAGGCUUUUUGUUCUAACAGGGAGCCAGAUCAAAACCCUGUCCUGGGGAGACAAUUGGGUAUGUCCAGGUGCAGUUGUUCAAUGUGAUUUAGUCCCUACCAGGAGGUCUGGUUGCCUGGGUUCAGAACAGCAGAGGAAAAAUUAGACAAAAGACACAUUCAGAAGUCAAGGUGCUCUGACAGUUCAGCAGACAUAUGACCUAACUUCAACCAGCAGACAGGAUCUGACCUAGGAAAGAUGAAGACAAAAACCAGAUCUCAAACAGAUGUAUUGUAGUUCAAGGUAGGGCAAUCAGACCUGUAGGAAGACUGAGCAGGCCACUGAAUUGGGCCCCCGAAAGAGAAGCCCAGACAUGAGGACUGGACCCACCCAGGAACUGGGAGUAAAGCAAUUUGGGGACAGUUGGGUCCUAGGCCUCGCCUCUAGGAAACCUGGAUUGCCCAGUCGGUGCUGAAGGUGUCUCAGAUCUGCUUGGAUCUAUAAUAUUGGACCUGGAUUUCAGGGGAAGUGUGUAUCUGGAAAUAAAAAUCAGAAAAUUUGGAGAAUAAAAGAACAAGGAAAAUUAAGGAAGGAUUUUUUUCAACCUUAAAAGCCACCUUGAGAAAUGAGAGAAGAGAGGAUUGGCUACUCGGUAUUGUGCUUUCUGCUGUCUACCUAGAAGACUUGAGGAAGAAGCCCCUUCACAUUCAUCAGUCACUUGAAUGACAUGAAAGACAGGAUGUUUCUUGCACUAACACCCGUGUGUUCAAAUGGAAAACCUCAUGUAACAGGAAGCCUCGCUAGCAAAAGACUAAUUUUCUGUGAAGUUCUGGCUAAACUAAGGAAAAGUCUGAUUAAGAACAAUAGAUGAAAUCUGAUUGUGACAUAUCAAUUGUAUGUAAAUUAGCAUUUCUGCUAAGAUUGUUUGAGAACAGUUUACUUUCAUAAUUGACUGAAAAAUGCUUCUUUCAAUUUUGCUGACACUAGUAAUGCAUCUGGCAAACUUUCCCUUCAGAGAAGUGUCAGGUUAAGCUUUAUCCCAGGUACUGUUUCAAACAAACAUAAACUCUAAUUUUGUGAGGCCCAUAUUAAUAAGUCUUUUUUAACUUUUUUUUUUUUUUGAGACAAGGUCUCACUCUCUCCCCCAGGCUGGAGUGCAGGGGUACAAUCAUGGUUCCACUGCAGGCUUGACAUCCCAGGCUCCAGUGAUCUUCCCACCUCAGCCUCUUGCAUAUCUGGGACCACACCCACAAUGCCCAGCUAAUUUUUUUUUUUUAAGUUUUUUGUAGAAACAGGUUUUACAUGUUGCCCAGGCUGGUCUCAAACUCCUGGGCUCAAGCGAUCCUCCCACCUAGGCCUCUCAAAAUGUUGAGAUUAGAGGUGUGAGCCACUGCACCCAGCCAGGCUUUACAAUUUUUAAAUAACUUUCAGCACAAAUACUUGUGAACCAGAAACAUUGGUUGAAAAUAUCUGUAACUUCUUUCUCAGCUCUAAAUUACUGAGAAGCAAAUGGAACCACAUGUUACAAAUAUUUCACAAGAACCAGUACCAUACUUUUAAACAUCUUGAUUAUGAUCUACUUGACAGUCAUAUUUGAGUUGUUGCUCUGUGUAACAUAAGAGUUGGGCUACACCUUCAGAAUAACUGGCAAAGCACCACCAACUGGCUGUGUCCUGAGAGGCUACCCAGCAACCUGGCUUUUUGUCUGAGUAUCAGACGCCCACUCUUCAUUGGACCAUAGAGGUUUUUCUCCCUAGUCCUCACCUCCAGCUCACUCCACCAAGUUAUUAGGAGUCUCUGAAAGAAACACGGAACACCCAGAGCAGAAAGCCAAUUUCUAAUUGGGCCAUCAGAUAGGGAAGAAAUGACAACUUCAACAAGAUUUCUUGUGAUCCUUGAGAGGUUUUCUAUGCAGGUACAGUCACAUUUAUGUCUUUUAAUAAUAGAGUUCAUCCAUCAUACAAGAUUGAUGAUCCCUGCAGAAGUUAAAAGUCUAGGAAUAAGAAAUUUGGGAAUGUGUUUUGCCACUUCAAUUGCCUCUACUGAUCAAGAAAGCAAAGACCCCCUAAACUUCAGGGCAAAAAGUGAAGAAUAAAUUUGAUUUGUGUUAGUGCCAAUACAGUUUUGAGUAUGUGUGUAGCUUUGAUGUGAUUAAAAACAUGGUCAUUCUUCUGGUUUAAAACAAUGAAAAUUAAUAAAUAGACUACUUACAACAAUUUUUUAAAAUCAUGAGCAUUUGGGUGUGUUAAAG